GUGGGUAUAGUUCAGUGGCAGAGCGUGUGCUUAGCGUGCACAAGGUCCUGGGUUCAACCCUUAGUAACUCCA
rnacentral:tRNA from 1 species